rnacentral:rRNA from 1 species
UGGGGAAUUUUGGACAAUGGGGGAAACCCUGAUCCAGCCAUCCCGCGUGUGCGAUGAAGGCCUUCGGGUUGUAAAGCACUUUUGGCAGGAAAGAAACGUCAUGGGUUAAUACCCCGUGAAACUGACGGUACCUGCAGAAUAAGCACCGGCUAACUACGUGCCAGCAGCCGCGGUAUUACGUAGGGUGCAAGCGUUAAUCGGAAUUACUGGGCGUAAAGCGUGCGCAGGCGGUUCGGAAAGAAAGAUGUGAAAUCCCAGAGCUCAACUUUGGAACUGCAUUUUUAACUACCGUGCUAGAGUGUGUCAGAGGGAGGUGGAAUUCCGCGUGUAGCAGUGAAAUGCGUAGAUAUGCGGAGGAACACCGAUGGCGAAGGCAGCCUCCUGGGAUAACACUGACGCUCAUGCACGAAAGCGUGGGGAGCAAACAGG